GUUCGAUCUAACAGAAGGCAGAGGCCGUAGCCACAUUGUGCUGCCCGGAAUCGGGCGCGCCUUGAGUCUCCUUUGCUCCAGCGGGGGAUCUCGCGCUACUAAGAUGCAUGAAGAAGCGAGGGGCGGGGAUGGUCGUAGAGUUUGGGUUGUGACCAAACUUCAAAAAGAGCCAGAUGUCUUACGCGUCCCUUUAUGUCAGGCCUGCCGUUGUGCACAGAAGGCACGAGACGGGGAGAAUGGCUGCUGUACAUUUAAAACCAGACUCAAGGGCCUGACUUAAGCUUUGAUUGCCAAGACAUCCACUUCAAAGACCUAUCUUGGAUAUGACUAGAUAAACAGCCAGCCACCCCUCUCCCCAAGGCUCCUUUGUCUUACAGAUCUUGGUUGAUUUCAUUAACUGACCAUAAGGGCCACUUGUUUUUACUCUUCCUGUGCUUUAAAUUCUCAUUCUUAUGUUUUAAAUUCACCAAUAAAGAGUGAACCUGUGAGGUGAUACCUCAUUGUAGUUUUGAUUUUCA